CAGGAUGAACGCUAGCUACAGGCUUAACACAUGCAAGUCGAGGGGCAUCAUGACGAUAGCUUGCUAUUGUUGAUGGCGACCGGCGCACGGGUGAGUAACGCGUAUCCAACCUUCCCCUUAGUAGAGGAUAGCCCGGCGAAAGUCGGAUUAAUACUCUAUGUUGUUCGAUGCGGACAUCUAAGUUGAACCAAAGGUUUACCGCUAAGGGAUGGGGAUGCGUCUGAUUAGGUAGUAGGCGGGGUAACGGCCCACCUAGCCUACGAUCAGUAGGGGUUCUGAGAGGAAGGUCCCCCACAUUGGAACUGAGACACGGUCCAAACUCCUACGGGAGGCAGCAGUGAGGAAUAUUGGUCAAUGGCCGAGAGGCUGAACCAGCCAAGUAGCGUGCAAGGAUGACGGCCCUAUGGGUUGUAAACUGCUUUUGUAUGGGGAUAAAGUUCACUACGUGUAGUGAUUUGCAGGUACCAUAUGAAUAAGGACCGGCUAAUUCCGUGCCAGCCGCCGC
rnacentral:rRNA from 1 species